UGUGUCUCGAUUGUGGACCACC
rnacentral:siRNA from 1 species